CUGAGAUGUUCGCUUGAUGCUUAUUUGCUAGCUGUUGAGUCUCAUUUUACUGGCUCCGGUUUGUAUUGAAGCCAACUGAACAGUUGCGUGUCAUGAUUAUAUGCAAAUACAGAUAAAUAAUCACUCGUGACCAAAAACAAAUGUGACUAAAACUGGUUGGAGCACCUUAGGGGAGGAGGUACUCACCCAGUAAUCAUUAAAUUAUCUACCUGUUAAAAUGAAGCUAUAUUUAUGAGCAUAGAAUAAAAACUGAUGUAUCUACCAGUAUCUGCACACUCCCAGACCUGUUUGCGAGCUUCGUUAAAACGUAGAGAAAGUCUUUCAACAAUGCCGUGUACACAGCCCCACUGCUGGGAGUUGGCAGGUCAAUUCCCAAAUGUGGUUUUUGCAAAGGUGGACAAAGAUGAAGCUACUGAUGUGGCUGGAUACUGUAACGUCAGUAGCACACCUGUAAUCCAUUUCUACAACAAAGGGAAGAAGGAGAAGGACCUAAUCGCUCCGACUGGUGAAGAACUGAAAAAACGAGUGCAGGAACUGAUAUAGUCUAUGCAACUAACUCACAUUUAUUGAUAAAGAAACCCAACAGUUUGUUCAUGGUCAUGUGAUCACUGUAUUAAGUGCUGUUAGCUUAGCUAUAACCACCACUUUUUAAAGGCAGGUGGAGUUGAUCCAAUUAAGUCCAGAUUUACUCAUUAAUGGCACAAAAACAUGAUUAUGAUCUCUGAAUAAACACAAUUUAACAUCUUUUA
rnacentral:lncRNA from 1 species